AGGACGAACGCUGGCGGCGUGCUUAACACAUGCAAGUCGAACGAGGUGCUUCGGCACUUAGUGGCGAACGGGUGAGUAACACGUGAGCAACCUGCCCUUGGCUCUGGGAUAGCCUCCGGAAACGGGGGAUUAAUACCGGACAUGACCUUCCCCGGCAUCGGGGUUGGUGGAAAGGUUUUUCGGCCAGGGAGGGGCUCGCGGCCUAUCAGCUUGUUGGGGGGGUAACGGCCCACCAAGGCGACGACGGGUAGCC
rnacentral:rRNA from 1 species